CAGUAUUGUGGUGUCCUGAGCACACACUGCAGUGUUGUCAGGCUUUGCACGGGCUCAGGUCCUGCAGCAACACAGGAGGAGUCGCAUAGUCCUUGGGGUCUGCCCUGAACAUGGUCAUGCUGCUGCAUGUGAUGGUGCCAUUCCACCCACAGUCUGCAGUGAAACCUUUGCAGCAGGACAAGAUGGAGCCAGUCAGCAUCCUCGUGAGGCUGCUCAGUUGCACAGGUCAUAUAGCUUGAAUUACAUGUUGUGAAAAUCUCAUACUUGGAGCGAACUGCUUGCCAGCGAGUUACAGACCAAGAC